AGAAAAAUGUGGAAAAUCUAUAGAAAUAUAGGGACACAAAACUACAGGGACUAAGGUUAUAUAACUAUGUCAGCCUGUUGCCAAA
rnacentral:ncRNA from 1 species